GAUGAACGCUGGCGGUAUGCCUUACACAUGCAAGUCGAACGGAAAUUAGCUUCGGUUAAUUUAGUGGCGGACGGGUGAGUAACACGUGAGAAUUCGCCUUUAGGAGGGGAUAACGGAUGGAAACAUUCGGCUAAAACCCCAUAUGCCCCCCGGGUGAAAAAGAGGAGAUAAGUAAAACUGAAUCACCUCUGCCUGAAGAGAAGCUCGCGGCUGAUUAGCUAGUUGGUAGGUAAAGGCCUACCAAGGCGACGAUCAGUAGCUGGUCUGAGAGGACGAUCAGCCACACUGGAACCUGAGACACGGUCCAGACUCCUACGGGAGGCUG
rnacentral:rRNA from 1 species